ACAAAUUUAGCGAAGCAUGUCCUUCACCUCUGUCAGCAGUGGAAUGAUUCCCUGAAAGGUCCAGUCCUGUGAACUAGAGAAGCUAUGUCUGGACCAAGCAGCCUGACAUUUGCUUUUCUAGGCAGUGAAAUCUGAGAGAAGCAGGGAAGGAGAUUCUCGGUUUACCUCCAACUUUACGCCUGAUGGCUGCCGGUCGUGAUUUCCAUACCCACAACCCCUGGCUUUUUUGGAAAGCAUUUUGUUUGAUUCUAAUUUGGAAGAUCUUUUUUAAUUGGCUGACACCCUACACCAUUACUUUAUAUCCCUAGCUGAAAAAUGACAUUAAAAAAAAAUCCAUUUCCCUGAAAACCCCUCCGGUCUUGAGAUUAGUUCUCACCCCCGUGUGGAUCAUCACGGCUGCAGCUUCCUAAGGGAUUACUCACAUGAGCAAGAACAGUCACUCUGCAUGGAAAGAUUGAGAGCCGCUAGUCCGCGGAACCUAAUUUAGAAAUAACCUGCAAGCACUAGUUAGCGACUAAUGAAGGUUAACUGAGCCCUCCCUGGAGACCGUUCUCUCGGUCUAUCUAUAACUGCCAAGACUCUCUUUUACAUUUGUUACACCCAGGGGACCAGAAAGGAGAAUAAAGACCGAAGGGGGAGAGCAGUCAGCUGCUCGCUUGCUGCAUUCGCCUGCCCUACUUAGAAAGACAGCAACACAUACAUUGUCUGACCAGCUCUCUAGAUUAGAGCCCCAUCCCAAUGGUGAUUAUUAUCCACAAUUUAUUUAGUUGUUUCAUGUCAAAGUGAUGCAAGAGCAUAUUGAGCUGUAGAUAUUUUAAGUAAAUUCCUAU
rnacentral:lncRNA from 1 species